rnacentral:misc_RNA from 1 species
UUGCAGUAACAUGCUUCCAUAGACAGGUGCAGCAAAUAGAACUAGCGCUUCAAACAAACAGAAUUAGUUUAAACUACUAAUACAAAGUAUGAUCAGCUAGCAUCUCGAAAUCAGAAGCUUCAUUUCAGUGAUUCUACAAUUACUAUUGAUAAGAUUGCACUCCUAGCCAAGCCAGAACAAUUUCCUCAAGAGCUGGUCUGAUAGUUUGCGUCAACAUGUUUUGGUAAUCAAUCACAUCACCACUUGACCUACUCAGUUCAAUGAAGUAAUUGGAUACGGAAAUUUCAAAGAUUUGCACGCCAAUGCACAGGGUCUCAUAUCUGCUCUCAUUUAAUCCCUCUAAUAUAAGAAAUCCACCUUCUUUCUUCUUUACUUCAAGGUUCAGACUCCUGCCAACUUCCACAAGUUUGGAUAUGAUGACUGGGACAGGUUCCACUGAUGUAAAAAGCAGCUCCUCCUUUUGAUCAUUGUUUAUGAAUAAACCAGACAAAUUAAACUGGCAGAGGAUAUUAAAUGCACUAAAGAUUGCAGGUUUUAUCAACUCUAAUUUGGUGUCGGAGGAAGAGGUACUAUUCUCCGAAUUUGAACUGGAAACAGCAUUACCAUCUGCAAUAACAUUUUGGUUCACUACUUGUUUAGUUCCCACAUGUCUAGAUUCCAAUCCUUUCUUAAACCAGGAGCUUUCCUUAAUUUUGGCGAUUGAAAUCCUUUUACGAGGGUUUGGGUCGAAGAUCCUAGAGAGAAGUUUACGCACUUCUAGAGGGAACCAAUUAGGGCAUUUGUACUCUGCCCUGCAUAUCUUCCUAUACAGAUUCAUAAGAUUUAAGUCAUAGAAUGGAAGAUAACCAGCCAACAAGACAAAUAAAAUCACCCCACAAGACCAGAUG